rnacentral:rRNA from 1 species
UGCCAGCAGCCGCGGUAACACGUACUGUGCGAACGUUAUUCGGAAUUACUGGGCGUAAAGCGCACGUAGGCGGACUGUUAAGUUAGAGGUGAAAUCCCGGGGCUCAACCCCGGAACUGCCUUUAAUACUGGCAGUCUAGAGUUCGAGAGAGGUGAGUGGAAUUCCGAGUGUAGAGGUGAAAUUCGUAGAUAUUCGGAGGAACACCAGUGGCGAAGGCGGCUCACUGGCUCGAUACUGACGCUGAGGUGCGAAAGUGUGGGGAGCAAACAGGAUUAGAUA